CAGCAGGCGGCGCCGGGCAAGAAGCGGUGGGCGGCGCGGGGCAGGCCGACGGAUGCACGGCGGGGCCCAGCCUGGCUGUCGAGGCGAGGCGCAGCAGGGCCAGGUCGGCGCCCAGCUCCACGCUGCUGUAGUCGCCCGGCACCAGGAUGGCGGCCACUGCGCAGGCUUGCGCGGCGUCCCUGUCCGGCCCCGCGAGCGCGCGCAGCAGCACAGACCACUCGGCGGCCGGCGCCACGGUCCGGUUCCUGCGCCGAGGCCGGGCCCUAGGGUCGGACUGCGCCGGAGCCGGGGAGCAGGGAGGGGGCCCGAGGAGCAGGGGUGGGGCCUGGGGCGGCUGGCUUGGAGCGGGAGCCGGAGCCGGGCUGCGUGGCCUCUGCCCGGAUGCGGGGCACCUCUCGCAGGACCCGGCUCGGGGCGCAGGGACCUCGGAGCCGCGGGGAGGACCCAGGUGGAGGCGCACGUGCCACGGCCAGGCGCCCCCCAGAAUGCGGGCGGAGAGCUCGGGGCGCCCGAAGUCUGCAGUGCGGAGUUCCGGGAACCAGAGCCUACCUGGGGCCCAUUCCGGAGGCCCAGGUACGUUGGGGCCAAACGCAGUCCCUCAGGCGGCUCCAGUGGCGAGGCCCGAGUCGGUGGGCACUGCCCCUGCCAGUACCCCCAGCCUUGACGUUUAGGGUCCAAGGCCCCCGGCCGCUUCCGGACCCAGCUCUCCAGGUUCCUCUCGGGUAGGACAGGAGCUGGCAGCCAGAGGAGAAGAUGCUGGUGACUUCCAGCCCCGAGUUUGCGCUCUGGACCCACCGCUCCCUUCCAGCCCCUUCCAGCCCCGCCAGCACCCGCACCGCGCCUUGGCCACCCUGCCUCUGCCCGGGACUUUCCCCCAGCGCAGCCGCCUUCCGCGAGACCCCGAGGGCUCUUGGGGUGGGACUGAAGGCUGGGAGACCAGGAGGCAGGCGCGGCUGGAGAGAGCCCUGGCUCUGUCGGUAAGGUCUCUCCCCCCCGCCCUCCCCCGCCGUCGGUGCUCCUACCCCGUGGCGCUCAGGCCCUCUCCCUCCACGCUUACACUCCUCCUCUGCCUCUUGAUGCCCUCUUCCUCCUUGGUGUCCCCUCUUCUGACUCCCUUUUCUCUCCCGCCUCACAUCUCCCUACACGGAAUCCGGAAUCUCGAUUCCCAGCUCACAGGUGCCAGCACGCGGCCCCUGGCGGCCAUCUGCCCCCCCCCCCCCUUACUGAGCAUCACAAGUGGGCGGAACAGGUGCUGGGACAGGUAGGCUGGACGGGGAGCCCCGGAGUGGUGGAAGGCCGCCGCCACAGCCCCGUCACUCAGCAGCUGUGACUCUGCAUGAUCCCAGGAGCAGCCCCACCCUCCCCGGCUGGAGGGCACCUCUGGGAAUUUGAGAGGCUCUGGGGCUGGAAGGGGAAAACAGGGAGCCCCAAGGCCCCACCCAGGCCCCGGUGCAUCUCACAUCUCUGGAGCCCUGGGUGGGGGAGUCCCUAGUUCCAGGACAGCUAUUGAGGUAGGGAACCUUGGGCGAAGGCCGAGGGCUGAGGAGGCAGCGCUGGGAGCCAGGGUCCUGCAUGCUUGGGAAAGCAGGGCGGGGGAGCAGUGACUUUUGGGGUGAGGUAGGAGGUUCCCCCUGGCUUGACUCACCUGGGACCUCACCUCUGUUUGUAGUGUGGCUGCUCCAAUGGCUCGGCUUUGUCUUCUCACACAGCUGUGGUUACUGCAGUUGCUGGCCAGGUCCCGAACUACAGCUCUGGGGAAUUCAGUCCCAUCCCAACAAGGGAUCACAGAUUCUGGCAGGCUCUCACUGUUCCCCGGGCUGAACCUGGACUUACGGACUCAAGUAAUGGGGACUACAGAUGACAAUAUUGCCCUGUACAAGAAUAUCAUUAAAUAAGAAAAACUGCCUUGCUUUGGGCUUCUUUCUGCACAACUUAGUCAAGACUCCUUCUCCAAUAAGAAGUUCUCCAGAAUCUGCCGCCUCUGGUCUCCUGGCCAAAACAUUGUCUUGCUAAAUUACCGCGGAAGCACGGGCGGUCUGGGGUUCCAGGUGCCUGCGGGCUGCUCAGUGGGGCGGUCCUCUGAGCGGCGCUUGCCUCAGACAGUAGAGACGGCCGCGCGCCUCAUCCCGGCCCUGACUGAGGGCCGAGGCUGGAGGUUCAGCGACCGAGUGAGCGCCUGGCUGGAGAAGAUCUCAGGCUGUAGUUUAGUGUGCAAACCCUCGGUUCAAUCCCAGUUCCGCCCCAAACCAAACCAAACCAAAAUAAAAAACAAAAACAGGGGCCAGGGAUGUGGCUCAGUGGUCCCAGAGUCUGCCCGGCCAGCGCAAGGCCCUGAGUCCGAUCUCGGUACCCAAAACCGAAAUCGACACCGA
ensembl:lncRNA